rnacentral:rRNA from 1 species
GCAGUCGACGAACUUCCGUUAAUUGAUUAUGACGUACUUGUACUGAUUGAGAUUUUAACACGAAGUGAGUGGCGAACGGGUGAGUAACACGUGGGUAACCUGCCCAGAAGUAGGGGAUAACACCUGGAAACAGAUGCUAAUACCGUAUAACAGAGAAAACCGCAUGGUUUUCUUUUAAAAGAUGGCUCUGCUAUCACUUCUGGAUGGACCCGCGGCGUAUUAGCUAGUUGGUGAGGUAAAGGCUCACCAAGGCAGUGAUACGUAGCCGACCUGAGAGGGUAAUCGGCCACAUUGGGACUGAGACACGGCCCAGACUCCUACGGGAGGCAGCAGUAGGGAAUCUUCCACAAUGGACGCAAGUCUGAUGGAGCAACGCCGCGUGAGUGAAGAAGGGUUUCGGCUCGUAAAGCUCUGUUGUUAAAGAAGAACGUGGGUAAGAGUAACUGUUUACCCAGUGACGGUAUUUAACCAGAAAGCCACGGCUAACUACGUGCCAGCAGCCGCGGUAAUACGUAGGUGGCAAGCGUUAUCCGGAUUUAUUGGGCGUAAAGCGAGCGCAGGCGGUCUUUUAAGUCUAAUGUGAAAGCCUUCGGCUCAACCGAAGAAGUGCAUUGGAAACUGGGAGACUUGAGUGCAGAAGAGGACAGUGGAACUCCAUGUGUAGCGGUGAAAUGCGUAGAUAUAUGGAAGAACACCAGUGGCGAAGGCGGCUGUCUGGUCUGCAACUGACGCUGAGGCUCGA